rnacentral:tRNA from 1 species
GGACCCGUAGCUCAGCUGGUUAGAGCGUCCGGCUCAUAACCGGUAGGUCGCAGGUUCGAGUCCUGCCGGGUCCA